UAAGAAAAUCAUAAUUUUAACAGAAAUUCAAUAAGAUAAAAGUAGAAAUCAAAAAUCCAGUGGGAAGAAACACAAUCCCGAUCUCGGGUGUCACUAAGUCAUGAGCUAGAACUACUACAUCUGUUCGAAAUAACAUGACCAACACGGUCUGAGAAUAUCCAAAUAAAUAUACUAAAGGAAGAUAAAGAAAGGAGAAGGCGGAACUGCGGUCGCCAAGCAGCUGCCUCGCAAUCUCCACAGAAAGUCUCCAACUGGUGUGAUCAACAACCGAUGCCGUGCACCGAGAUACCUGGAUCUGCACACAGGGGUGCAGGGGGUAACAUGAGUACACUAACUCAGUAAGUAACAAGUCCAAACUAUGGACUAACGGUAGUGACGAACCAAACCUCAACAGGUUGCAAUGGUUAAUUGUACGGAACAGUAGACAUGCUUACAGUUCAUGUAGUUUCUCAGUAGUAAUUAAACACAAUAUGAACGAUACAGAGUAUAAACCUCAGGAACCUCUAAGUACCAAUGCACAAAUAGCAUGAUUAAUAUUACGUAUAAUACUUCCACUCACAAUGCUCAACCAUUCGGUACUGUAUAUGGCCCAUUCGGCCUAGGGAAGAUCCAGCCCGGAAUAUAUAUACAUCACAAACUAUAAGUCACCCAGUACCGAGGAAACAGGCCAAUCCAGCUUCAUGGAAAAGAUCCAUCUUCAUACCAAUACUUUGGACAAGAUCCAUGUCCAGGGAAGAUUCAUCCCUCAAUAUCAUCAACUGCGCUCACUGGGGGUGUAAAAACUCCGAAGGGGCUUCUCUUAGCCCAAACGCUAUAUCAAUGCCAGUGAAGGCAUGAUCAAUAUCUCGCUGCGGCGUGCAGCCCGAUCCCAUACUGUCAAUCAACAUCAGGCUCUCGCCCUCACUCAGUCAAUACUCUCCAGUCUCACACACAUGGGGUAAAAUGUCAUGAUACAAUCUAGAACAAUGAUAUAAUAUGUCAAAUAGCAAUAAUCGAGACUGAGGCAUGAUAUAAUAUGCAUGAACAGGACUAAGUAUAGAAUAUAAAUGAAGCUAAUGAUAUGACAGCAAGAAACGACCUCUCGGGUCUCAACAGUGUUGGCGUGAAGCCAUAACAUGAUGAUUAGCAUGAUUUGCAGCUCAUUAACUUAAUCACAUAAUUACAACACAGAUAUCAGCAUAAAAGAGUCACUAAGUGGUGCGACGGAAUGAUCCAGGCCAUAUUUGUCACGGUGCGCGCCCACUCGCCCGUCACUUGGCAUUGUGUCACCUCAAUAGUAAUCAUAGAACACACAGUUCGGGGUUUUGAACCCUCAAAGCCAAGUUUGGAAGUGUUACUUACCUCAAGACAAGCCAAACUCUAAUCCGCGACGCCUUUUCCUCUCAAUUCGGCCUCCAAAUGCCCCGAAUCUAACCAAAAUCAGCGUACAACCAUCAAUAUAUGCUAAAGGAACGAAACCCAUAUGAAAAUUAUCAAUUUAGCUCAAAAAUCCCGAAAUUGUCCAAACCCGAACCCCGGGCCCACAUCUCGAAUUCCAAUAAAAAUUACAAAACUAGAAUCCUCACACUCUCACGAGUUCAUACAUACCAAAUGUCACACCUCCGUUUUACUACCCCGGAAGAAGUAUAAGGGAGUUUUUUCCAAUUUAAGUGACAAGCGAAACGGGAUUAUUUAUUAAAAUCAGAGUCGCCACUUGGGAUAAUUUGUGGUGUCCCAAGUCACCGGUUUAAAAUUCUGAGUCGAGGAAGUUUGACUCUAUUUACGGUCUGCGAACACAGAAAUCCGGGUAAGGAAUUUUGUUAACCCGGGAGAAGGUGUUAGGCAUUCCCGGAUUCCGUGGUUUUAGCAUGGCCGCUCAACUGUUAUUAUUGGCCUAUUUAUUUGAUUUUAAAAACAUCUUUGAAACCUAUGUGCCUUUUUUAACCUUUGACCGCUUUUAAUAAUCCAAUUGUUAUACAAAUAAUUAUUUAAUUACACAUUGCGAAUCAUGUCACGGGAACCAAACCCACGAUCUACAACGUGUUUAUUUUUUUAACAAGAUUAAAUUGGGGUCGGGACCCAUAAAUGUACCCCGGAUUUUAGAAAUUAAGCAUCACCACUACGUCACGGGAACUGUACCCGUAGCUAUGACUAUUUAUUUAAUUAACACGUCUAAAACAAACUACGAGAGUUCAGGGCAUUUUUCUACAUUAGUUAAGAUAUCGACGUGAGGGCCAUAGACUAGGUGAUUGUAUGGCACACCUCAAUUUUCAUUAAGUCAACAUAGUGAUCCUAAAAUUGCUUCAGCCUCUGCUAGAAAAGUUUAUACACUGCAGAAGAUUUCCAUCCCAGAUAAAAAGACAACUGAAGAAACCAUAGAUGAUAGGACCACAGAAGGCAUGUCUGUAGGGGGAAGUUUGCAUAAGGAGAUUCAAAUGGACCAAGAAAAUCUAAUUCCCAGUAGCUAUAUUUACAACAGAAUUAGAGCCCUUAAGGAGACAUCCAUUGUAGACAAAGAAUGUCUCAAUCAGAUACAAAGUGCUGCCAAGGAAUUUGAAGAAACGGACAGAAACAUAGGGAUUCUCCACAAAAAAACAAUAGUCAGCCCAAGUGAUCUCUAAAGCCAAUUAAAGAACAUGAAAGCAAUAUAAAAUCUAACUAAACAAUUAGUAAAACAAAACGAAUACACAUUUGAACAAGUCAAGGACCAGAAUCAGUAAACAACAAAGCCAAAAUAUGAAUCAAAGCCAUCGGAAGGAACUGUUUAGGUAUUCUAGGUCUCAAUUCAUGUCAAACUCCUAGGUUCGUUCUUAAUUGAAUUCAGAAUUCCAGGACAUAGGGACGACCUGAAUUGGCGAGUCAAGACAAUUGAAAGGGCACUCAAGCACGCAAAGAAUGUUAAACAAGGUAGCUGGCUCAUGGCAAUUUCAACAGAACUCAACGCGACUUUGUACCUAAAAUACAAUGCUUAUCAGAAUGGACAAAGGCAUAUAGCUCGACUGGCAAAUGCAAAAUGAUCUCAAAGAAAGCAAAUCCACACUAUUUCACAUGCUUCAUAUGAUAUUCUGUUUAAGGAGUUCAGUGACAGAAUUUACAUGCUAAAAAAAUAUGAACACCCACUGAUCCUUUCAACAUGGUGAGCCUCAAAGAGCAAAUAUUAUCAAAGGGGAACUUCAGCAGCUUCAAACCAGCAAAAACAUGCGAAAAUGAUCAUGAAAUCAGAGAAAAGGGAAACUCGUCAGUGAUUCAUGUCGAAUAUAUUGAGACCAAGACAGAAGAUACGAGCAGAUAUCCUUGAAUAUCAAAGCAUGGCAUAUGCAAGAGAAGAAAUACAAGGAAAGCUCAUCUUAUGAAGCGAUCGUUCCUUAACAACAUGACCAAAAAUUCUGACCAACAAAACUUUGAAAAACCAACUGCUUGAACAAAGAGGGUGGAUCUAGUUUAAAGCUUCUAGUAGAUGAGGAAGAUUUCACAAGAACAAAUCAUUUAGAGUCCGGAAAACAAACAUUACGAGAAUAAGCAUCAUAGAUUCAUGCUCGCUUAAAAAUCACAAAAACUGAACACAUCGUUCAUUUGAAAGCGAUGAAAUCUUGACUCAAAAUAUAUUUCGACCCCAUAAUAACAAUUAUGGCAUACAAGGAAUAGAAGACAACCACUCAAAUCAGUUCCUAUUGGCUGAACAAUGCUUAGCACAUCAAACUAGUGAGAAGGGAUUCAUUUGCAAAAUAACAUAUCGAAUAUUGUUUUCGAAUAUGAAUCGAGACUAAAUGAUCAACCCAAGCUCGACUCCUUCAUGAAGUUUGAUCACAGAACAAAGACCAAACCAUUCUAAAGACAGAAAUCCCAUAGCUCAAGAACACCUAAAAAUACAAAGUUCAGAGGAGAAAAGAUCAAACCUGAAAUUGCAAACUUCCUUUAUUAAUUAUAAAAUCAACAAUACACCUUUUGACUCCAAAUCCUAGCGAGGUUCAGCAGCAAAUUAGCAGGACAACAGUAGAACACAAAGUCGACGAACUUGAACCUCACGAACAAUCAAUAGACCUCAGUUCAUUUUUCAUGUCUUUGGAACCCAAAGUCAGAUUGACAAUUAAAAAAAAAAUUGUGUAUUCUUCUUCGAACCUUUGAAAG
rnacentral:lncRNA from 1 species